rnacentral:rRNA from 1 species
UACAGAGGUCCCAAGCGUUGUUCGGAUUCAUUGGGCGUAAAGGGUGCGUAGGAGGGCAGGUAAGUCAGUGGUGAAAUCUCCGAGCUUAACUUGGAAACUGCCGUUGAUACUAUCUGCCUUGAAUAUUGUGGAGGUGAGCGGAAUAUGUCAUGUAGCGGUGAAAUGCUUAGAUAUGACAUAGAACACCAAUUGCGAAGGCAGCUCGCUACACAUAUAUUGACUCUGAGGCACGAAAGCGUGGGGAUCAAACAGG